rnacentral:rRNA from 1 species
GACGAACGCUGGCGGCGUGCUUAACACAUGCAAGUCGAACGGAAAGGCCCUGCUUUUGUGGGGUGCUCGAGUGGCGAACGGGUGAGUAACACGUGAGUAACCUGCCCUUGACUUUGGGAUAACUUCAGGAAACUGGGGCUAAUACCGGAUAGGAGCUCCUGCUGCAUGGUGGGGGUUGGAAAGUUUCGGCGGUUGGGGAUGGACUCGCGGCUUAUCAGCUUGUUGGUGGGGUAGUGGCUUACCAAGGCUUUGACGGGUAGCCGGCCUGAGAGGGUGACCGGCCACAUUGGGACGGAGAUACGGCCCAGACUCCUACGGGAGGCAGCAGUGGGGAAUAUGGCACAAGGGGCGGAAGCCUGAUGCAGCAACGCCGCGUGCGGGAUGACGGCCUUCGGGUGGUAAACCGCUUUCGCCUGUGACGAAGCGUGAGGGACGGGAAUGGGGAAAGAAGCACCGGCGAACUACGG